UUCUCAGAAGCUCCAGAUUUAUGUAGUAUUUUUAGCUCUCUGAAGGAGAGAAAUCCUCGUUCGCUGCAUUUAUAUCAACCCGCCUUAGGACUUGGGUUGUUUGGAGGUGGGGCGUGUGUCUGCCUAGGGGGUAUCAUUGUUUCUGGGAAGCCUGGGUUCUCUGAUUGGCCAGUCCAGGUCAUAAGUUUGUUCCUAUGACGAGGGAGGUAGGGUCAUGAGAUGAACAGGCAGAAUCAUGCAGAGUGAAAAGCAGUUUCCCGAAACAGAAAAAGGAUAUUCAAGUGGCAUAUGAAAGCAGAACACCUGCCCUACCUCCAGAUCCGGCAUUACAAGCACCUUGUAAGAUACCACAGCCACCACUUUCAGACUGCUGGGUAAAAGCAAGUGGUUUCCUGAGAGUCUGUCCAUUUACAGCAAGAAGUAAAAAAAGGUUCUGAGAAGAAGUGAGGAGAAGCUAACAGCUGAGCAUGACUUCCAGAAGACAGUGUGGACAGGUUUCAGGGCUGCAGUCUGUGAAAGGCUCUGUGAGAUCCUGAACUCCUGGAGAAAUUAGAUGGUCCAAGAAAACCUAACUGAUGCCAGAUGAGAAGUCUCUAUCUCUGCUCCAGACCAGAUCCCUGCUUAUUCAUUUUGAGAUUCCAAGUAAACAAGGUGCCGUAAUGAUGUGCACUGUGAGCAGCAGAAGAAUUGGAACAGAGAGAGGAGUGUGGCCUCCAUCUCACUCACCAUAACCACUGAAGCUAGAAAAAAGCUCACGCUUCUCCUGAGCAUGUAAGAGUGAAAACGUAAGCUGAUCAUCUAGUUUGGAGGCAUGGAGACUCUGCCUUCUACGAAAACUGGUCAAAUGAGUGGCUGGUACUUUGACCCAAAUAGCUCCAUAAACAGUACCAAAAGCUUGCCUGUAAAAGACAGGUUGUUGGUUCCAGUGGUUUAUCCUAUGGAACUCCAACAAGAACUUUUAUGCCUCUUUCAAAUCGCUGUAGCACGUGUUGGUACAUACGAUAACUGAUCAUAUGUCAGUUGCCACUCUAUGACUGGAAAUAAAAUAUUUCUUUUUGCUUA